rnacentral:lncRNA from 1 species
UUGGCCCAAUUUUUCCGUAACCUUGUGGAAAAGACCCUGGUGCUGGUGAACGCUGCUGUGACUUACUCAAAGCCUUGAUUGGCCACAUUUUGGUACUACGCCAAGUUUGAGCUGGUUCCUCCCACCCCUGCUGAGAUCCCUAGAGCUAUUCAGAGUCUGAAAAAAAUAGUCAAUAGUGCUCAGACUGGUAGCUUCAAACAACUCACAGUUAAGGAAGCUGUGCUGAAUGGUUUGGUGGCCACUGAGGUGUUAUGUGGUUUUAUGUCGGAGAGAUCAUAGGCAAGCGUGGCAUCAUUGGCUAUGAUGUUUGA